rnacentral:rRNA from 1 species
AAACCAUGCACCGAAGCUGCGGCAGCGACACUAUGUGUUGUUGGGUAGGGGAGCGUUCUGUAAGCCUGUGAAGGUGGCCUGUGAGGGUUGCUGGAGGUAUCAGAAGUGCGAAUGCUGACAUAAGUAACGAUAAAGCGGGUGAAAAGCCCGCUCGCCGGAAGACCAAGGGUUCCUGUCCAACGUUAAUCGGGGCAGGGUGAGUCGACCCCUAAGGCGAGGCCGAAAGGCGUAGUCGAUGGGAAACAGGUUAAUAUUCCUGUACUUGGUGUUACUGCGAAGGGGGGACGGAGAAGGCUAUGUUGGCCGGGCGACGGUUGUCCCGGUUUAAGCGUGUAGGCUGGUUUUCCAGGCAAAUCCGGAAAACCAAGGCUGAGGCGUGAUGACGAGGCACUACGGUGCUGAAGUGACAAAUGCCCUGCUUCCAGGAAAAGCCUCUAAGCAUCAGGUAACAUCAAAUCGUACCCCAAACCGACACAGGUGGUCAGGUAGAGAAUACCAAGGCGCUUGAGAGAACUCGGGUGAAGGAACUAGGCAAAAUGGUGCCGUAACUUCGGGAGAAGGCACGCUGAUAUGUAGGUGAAGCGACUUGCUCGUGGAGCUGAAAUCAGUCGAAGAUACCAGCUGGCUGCAACUGUUUAUUAAAAACACAGCACUGUGCAAACACGAAAGUGGACGUAUACGGUGUGACGCCUGCCCGGUGCCGGAAGGUUAAUUGAUGGGGUUAGCGGUAACGCGAAGCUCUUGAUCGAAGCCCCGGUAAACGGCGGCCGUAACUAUAACGGUCCUAAGGUAGCGAAAUUCCUUGUCGGGUAAGUUCCGACCUGCACGAAUGGCGUAAUGAUGGCCAGGCUGUCUCCACCCGAGACUCAGUGAAAUUGAACUCGCUGUGAAGAUGCAGUGUACCCGCGGCAAGACGGAAAGACCCCGUGAACCUUUACUAUAGCUUGACACUGAACAUUGAGCCUUGAUGUGUAGGAUAGGUGGGAGGCUUUGAAGUGUGGACGCCAGUCUGCAUGGAGCCGACCUUGAAAUACCACCCUUUAAUGUUUGAUGUUCUAACGUUGGCCCGUAAUCCGGGUUGCGGACAGUGUCUGGUGGGUAGUUUGACUGGGGCGGUCUCCUCCUAAAGAGUAACGGAGGAGCACGAAGGUUGGCUAAUCCUGGUCGGACAUCAGGAGGUUAGUGCAAUGGCAUAAGCCAGCUUGACUGCGAGCGUGACGGCGCGAGCAGGUGCGAAAGCAGGUCAUAGUGAUCCGGUGGUUCUGAAUGGAAGGGCCAUCGCUCAACGGAUAAAAGGUACUCCGGGGAUAACAGGCUGAUACCGCCCAAGAGUUCAUAUCGACGGCGGUGUUUGGCACCUCGAUGUCGGCUCAUCACAUCCUGGGGCUGAAGUAGGUCCCAAGGGUAUGGCUGUUCGCCAUUUAAAGUGGUACGCGAGCUGGGUUUAGAACGUCGUGAGACAGUUCGGUCCCUAUCUGCCGUGGGCGCUGGAGAACUGAGGGGGGCUGCUCCUAGUACGAGAGGACCGGAGUGGACGCAUCACUGGUGUUCGGGUUGUCAUGCCAAUGGCACUGCCCGGUAGCUAAAUGCGGAAGAGAUAAGUGCUGAAAGCAUCUAAGCACGAAACUUGCCCCGAGAUGAGUUCUCCCUGACUCCUUGA